AAAAGCUGCGCCCGACGAGAGCGCGAGAAGGGAAGCGGCAAAGAGGCCCGUCCGCAUGUGUCUGAUC
rnacentral:sRNA from 1 species